rnacentral:sRNA from 1 species
GCUGGGCACAGUGGCUCAUGCCUGUAAUCCCAGCGGCUGGGGAGGCUGAGGCAGGAGGAUCGCAAGUUCAAAGCCAACCUCAGCAAAAUCAAGGCGCUAAACAACACAGGGAGACCCUGUCUCUA